rnacentral:rRNA from 1 species
UUUCCGGUUGAUCCCGCCGGACCUGACUGCUAUCGGAUUGAUACUAAGCCAUGCGAGUCUUUGUAGUAAUACAAGGCAGACGGCUCAGUAACACGUAGUCAACCUACCCUAUGGACAAGAAUAAUCUCGGGAAACUGGGCAUAAUUCUUGAUAGAUCAUAAUGCCUGGAAUGGUUUAUGGUUAAAAUGAUUCGUCGCCAUAGGAUGUGACUGCGGCCUAUCAGCUUGUUGGUGAGGUAAUGGCCCACCAAGGCGAUUACAGGUACGGGCUCUGAGAGGAGAAGCCCGGAGAUGGGUACUGAGACACGGACCCAGGCCCUAUGGGGCGCAGCAGGCGAGAAAACUUUGCAAUGUGCGAAAGCACGACAAGGUUAAUCCGAGUGAUUUCUGCUAAAGAAAUCUUUUGCCAGUCAUAAAACCACUGGUGAAUAAGGGGUGGGCAAGUUCUGGUGUCAGCCGCCGCGGUAAAACCAGCACCUCAAGUGGUCAGGAUGAUUAUUGGGCCUAAAGCAUCCGUAGCCGGCUUUGUAAGUUUUCGGUUAAAUCCAUGUGCUCAACGCAUGGGCUGCCGAAAAUACUGCAUGGCUAGGGAGUGGGAGAGGUAGACGGUACUCAGUAGGAAGGGGUAAAAUCCUUUGAUCUAUUGAUGACCACCUGUGGCGAAGGCGGUCUACCAGAACACGUUCGACGGUGAGGGAUGAAAGCUGGGGGAGCAAACCGGAUUAGAUACCCGGGUAGUCCCAGCUGUAAACGAUGCAGACUCGAUGAUGCAUUGGCAUAAUAGCCAGUGCAGUGUCGCAGGGAAGCCGUUAAGUCUGCCGCCUGGGAAGUACGUACGCAAGUAUGAAACUUAAAGGAAUUGGCGGGGGAGCACCACAAGGGGUGAAGCCUGCGGUUCAAUUGGAGUCAACGCCGGG